GCUGGUCCGCCCGCGGCCAAGGCCAGAGGCCGCCGCAUUCAGCGCCGCUCCCCGCCGCGGGUCUGCGCCCCCGGUCGCCCGCCGGAGCCCGGCCGGAGCCUGCCCGGGACACCCUGCGCCCGCCCCAGCGGCUCACGCCGCGCCCCCGCGGGCCCCGCAACUCGUCGCAGCUCCGCGGGCCCCAAAGCGAUGCGAGGGGAAGCGGGGCCCAGACCAGCAGGGAGGCGGCGCAGAAUGGCCAGAGGCGAGGCUGGCGCACCUCCCCGACAUACGCAGAGCCCCAGGUCUUUAAGGCCGGUCACGCCGAGGCCUCGCCCGGCUCCAGCCUACACCUGACACACACCAGUUGUGACUGACCUGAUGCCUAGCAACUGACUCUGCAUGGCCGACUCACAGGUACAACUCGAACCUGCCAACCAGCCGCGUGUGUGCAGGACCCCGCUGGCGCCGCUUGGCCUGACGGGAGCUGUAGUCCGCCUCCUCCCUGUCAGCCCCGGGAGAAGAGCCGUGCGAACUACAAGUCCCAGCAACCCAUGCGGCUGGCCUAAGAUGACACUCCCGGAAACAUUGAUGUCUGCCCUGGAGCCCAGUGCUGCCUCUCUAGCCUGGUGGUUCAGGGUCGGCUUCUUGUGGUUUUUAAGGAGCAGGAAGCUCUGGAUAAUGGAUGAGUGAGCAACUCUGCCCCAUGGUGAUUUAAUGAGAGAAAUCUAAGCUGUUAUUUUUAUUGAUUUGUAUUCAUUUUGGACCAGGAAAGAGAAUUGAGAGUAGGGGCCAGGUGAUGGUGCACCUGGCUGAGCGCACAUUACAGGCAUGAGACUGAAAUUAUCUUCACUUAUUUAUUGAACAGAGACAGCAAGAAAUCAAGAGGGGAGGAGACAUACGGAGCGAAAGAGGCACAGACACGUGCAGGCCUGCUUCUCCACUUGCAAAGCUUUCUCCCUGCAGGUGGGGCCUGGGAGCUCGAACCUGAGUCCUUGCACUGUGACGAACCUGAGUCCUUGCACUGUGACGUGUGCUCAGGUGCACCACCACACAGCCCCGCUUUUUUUUUUUUCUUACCAGAGCACUGAUCAUCUGUAAUUAAACUGGUGCAAAGGAUUAAACCUGAGAUUUGGAGACUAAGUCACUAGAGUUUCUUUGCAUAAAUAACCAUUAUGGUCUCUUCCUUGUCCCAUUGUAUUUAUUUAUACAUUUCUUUCUUUUUUAUUAUUUAAGAAAGGAGACAUUAACAAAAUCAUAGAAUUGGAGGGGUACAACUCCACACAAUUCCUGCCACCCAAUCUCCAUAUCCCACCCCCUCCCCUGAUAGCUUUCCCAUUCUCUAUCCCUCUGGGAGCAUGGACCCAGGGUCAUUGUGGGUUGCAGAAGGUAGAAGGUCUGGCUUCUGUAACUGCUUCCCCGCUGAACAUGGGCGUUGACAGGUGGAUCCAUACUCCCAGUCUGCCUCUCUCUUUCCCUAGUAGGGUGGGUCUCUGGGGAAGCAGAGCUCCAGGACACAUUGGUGGUGUUGUCUGUCCAGGGAAGCCUGGCCGACAUCCUGAUGGCAUCUGGAACCUGGUGGCUGAAAAGAAAGUUAACAUACAAAGCCAAACAAAUUGUUGAAGAAUCAUGGACCCAAAGGAUGGAAUAGUGGAGAGGAAGUGUUGGGGGGACUCACUGCAAACUCUAGUGUACUACUGCUUUCAAAACACUGUUCAACUUUGGCUUCUGGUGGUACAGGGGAUUGAACCUGGCACUUUGGAGCCUCAGGCAUGAGAGUCUCUUAGAAUUUUGAGAACUUUUCACCUGCUUUCAGAACAUCAGAUUGCAUACCUGCCCUUGAGUGGUGUGCCCCUCAUGAUUCUUGAGCAGGACAAGGAAGUUGACAGGCUGCUGAACCUGGGUCUCCCUUCCCCCGUGAAGAUGUUCACCCCACUGUGGGAAUCUGAUAGGUUCCAGUCUCCUUCAAUCAUUCUGUCAACCCUGGAUGCUGAAUUGCCACCUAUUUGCUAUGACUGAACUAUUUAAACUUGA